rnacentral:misc_RNA from 1 species
AAGUCGUAACAAGGUUUCCGUAGGUGAACCUGCGGAAGGAUCAUUAACACGUAUCCAACGUUAAAACAACCCUGUGAACCUUCAGCCUGCUCGCGUAGCCCAUGAAAGCAGCAAUCCCUGGUAAAUCAUUGUUAACCAGCUUUUGAGUCAGGGACCUCUGCCGAUGAGAAGUUACAGUUACGCUCGUAGCGGUAGUCAAAGCGACUCGGCACCCCCAAGCAGUCAUUGUCUGAAAGCGUCAUUGAUUGUGUAAGGGUGGCGCUAUCGAUCGUUGGAGGCCGACACGGCCGACGACCGGGUCCCUGGGUCACCAUGCCCCUUACUAGCCACACUGUAAAUAAGUUGGGCCUGCGUUAGAUUCGCGGUCAAAAAAAAACGAACAACUGUUAACAAUGGAUAUCUUGGUUCUC